AUUGAACGCUGGCGGCAUGCUUUACACAUGCAAGUCGAACGGUAACAGGCCGCAAGGUGCUGACGAGUGGCGAACGGGUGAGUAAUGCAUCGGAACGUGCCCAGUCGUGGGGGAUAACUACUCGAAAGAGUAGCUAAUACCGCAUACGAUCUAUGGAUGAACGCGGGGGACCGUAAGGCCUCGUGCGAUUGGUGCGGCCGAUGUCAGAUUAGGUAGUUGGUGGGGUAAAGGCUCACAAAGACAACGAUCUGUAGCUGGACUGAGAGGGCGAGCAGCCACACUGGAACUGAGACACGGCCCAGACUCCUACGGGAGGCAGCAGUGGGGAAUUUUGGACAAUGGUCGCGAGCCUGAUCCAGCAAUGCCGCGUGCAGGAAGAAGGCCUUCGGGUUGUAAACUGCUUUUGUACGGAGCGAAACGGCUCUGGUUAAUACCCGGGGCUAAUGACGGUACCGGAAGAAUAAGCACCGGCUAACUACGUG
rnacentral:rRNA from 1 species